rnacentral:rRNA from 1 species
AUGUCCUGUUGGUGUGAGGUGGGGAUUUUUAGUUUAGAAGAGCUUGAGACCUUGUUACAUUUCAAAGUAGCAGUUCACAAAUGGGCACCCCAUUUGGUCAUCAUGUGGGAUCAUGGGUUUAUCAUACAUGUUUUAUCUAGCACAACUAUCAAAAUUCCCUCACAGUUUGAUUUAGCAUACUAUUUAGACCCUGAUGCUCUUAAACUAACGCAUGCAAAAGCAUUUGAAAUCACACUAUUUAGUACAACAUUUUCUUCAAAAUAUCACUUUUGGAUAUCAAACUUACUUACAAUCCAAGACAAAUGA